rnacentral:rRNA from 1 species
UUAAGCGACUAAGCGUACACGGUGGAUGCCCUGGCAGUCAGAGGCGAUGAAGGACGUGCUAAUCUGCGAUAAGCGUCGGUAAGGUGAUAUGAACCGUUAUAACCGGCGAUUUCCGAAUGGGGAAACCCAGUGUGAUUCGUCACACUAUCAUUAACUGAAUCCAUAGGUUAAUGAGGCGAACCGGGGGAACUGAAACAUCUAAGUACCCCGAGGAAAAGAAAUCAACCGAGAUUCCCCCAGUAGCGGCGAGCGAACGGGGAGGAGCCCAGAGCCUGAAUCAGUGUGUGUGUUAGUGGAAGCGUCUGGAAAGGCGCGCGAUACAGGGUGACAGCCCCGUACACAAAAAUGCACAUGCUGUGAGCUCGAUGAGUAGGGCGGGACACGUGGUAUCCUGUCUGAAUAUGGGGGGACCAUCCUCCAAGGCUAAAUACUCCUGACUGACCGAUAGUGAACCAGUACCGUGAGGGAAAGGCGAAAAGAACCCCGGCGAGGGGAGUGAAAAAGAACCUGAAACCGUGUACGUACAAGCAGUGGGAGCCUCUUUAUGGGGUGACUGCGUACCUUUUGUAUAAUGGGUCAGCGACUUAUAUUCUGUAGCAAGGUUAACCGAAUAGGGGAGCCGAAGGGAAACCGAGUCUUAACUGGGCGUUAAGUUGCAGGGUAUAGACCCGAAACCCGGUGAUCUAGCCACGGGCAGGUUGAAGGUUGGGUAACACUAACUGGAGGACCGAACCGACUAAUGUUGAAAAAUUAGCGGAUGACUUGUGGCUGGGGGUGAAAGGCCAAUCAAACCGGGAGAUAGCUGGUUCUCCCCGAAAGCUAUUUAGGUAGCGCCUCGUGAAUUCAUCUCCGGGGGUAGAGCACUGUUUCGGCAAGGGGGUCAUCCCGACUUACCAACCCGAUGCAAACUGCGAAUACCGGAGAAUGUUAUCACGGGAGACACACGGCGGGUGCUAACGUCCGUCGUGAAGAGGGAAACAACCCAGACCGCCAGCUAAGGUCCCAAAGUCAUGGUUAAGUGGGAAACGAUGUGGGAAGGCCCAGACAGCCAGGAUGUUGGCUUAGAAGCAGCCAUCAUUUAAAGAAAGCGUAAUAGCUCACUGGUCGAGUCGGCCUGCGCGGAAGAUGUAACGGGGCUAAACCAUGCACCGAAGCUGCGGCAGCGACGCUUAUGCGUUGUUGGGUAGGGGAGCGUUCUGUAAGCCUGCGAAGGUGUACUGUGAGGUAUGCUGGAGGUAUCAGAAGUGCGAAUGCUGACAUAAGUAACGAUAAAGCGGGUGAAAAGCCCGCUCGCCGGAAGACCAAGGGUUCCUGUCCAACGUUAAUCGGGGCAGGGUGAGUCGACCCCUAAGGCGAGGCCGAAAGGCGUAGUCGAUGGGAAACAGGUUAAUAUUCCUGUACUUGGUGUUACUGCGAAGGGGGGACGGAGAAGGCUAUGUUGGCCGGGCGACGGUUGUCCCGGUUUAAGCGUGUAGGCUGGUUUUCCAGGCAAAUCCGGAAAAUCAAGGCUGAGGCGUGAUGACGAGGCACUACGGUGCUGAAGCAACAAAUGCCCUGCUUCCAGGAAAAGCCUCUAAGCAUCAGGUAACAUCAAAUCGUACCCCAAACCGACACAGGUGGUCAGGUAGAGAAUACCAAGGCGCUUGAGAGAACUCGGGUGAAGGAACUAGGCAAAAUGGUGCCGUAACUUCGGGAGAAGGCACGCUGAUACGUAGGUGAAGUCCCUUGCGGAUGGAGCUGAAAUCAGUCGAAGAUACCAGCUGGCUGCAACUGUUUAUUAAAAACACAGCACUGUGCAAACACGAAAGUGGACGUAUACGGUGUGACGCCUGCCCGGUGCCGGAAGGUUAAUUGAUGGGGUUAGCGGUAACGCGAAGCUCUUGAUCGAAGCCCCGGUAAACGGCGGCCGUAACUAUAACGGUCCUAAGGUAGCGAAAUUCCUUGUCGGGUAAGUUCCGACCUGCACGAAUGGCGUAAUGAUGGCCAGGCUGUCUCCACCCGAGACUCAGUGAAAUUGAACUCGCUGUGAAGAUGCAGUGUACCCGCGGCAAGACGGAAAGACCCCGUGAACCUUUACUAUAGCUUGACACUGAACAUUGAGCCUUGAUGUGUAGGAUAGGUGGGAGGCUUUGAAGUGUGGACGCCAGUCUGCAUGGAGCCGACCUUGAAAUACCACCCUUUAAUGUUUGAUGUUCUAACGUUGGCCCCUAAUCGGGGUUGCGGACAGUGUCUGGUGGGUAGUUUGACUGGGGCGGUCUCCUCCUAAAGAGUAACGGAGGAGCACGAAGGUUGGCUAAUCCUGGUCGGACAUCAGGAGGUUAGUGCAAUGGCAUAAGCCAGCUUGACUGCGAGCGUGACGGCGCGAGCAGGUGCGAAAGCAGGUCAUAGUGAUCCGGUGGUUCUGAAUGGAAGGGCCAUCGCUCAACGGAUAAAAGGUACUCCGGGGAUAACAGGCUGAUACCGCCCAAGAGUUCAUAUCGACGGCGGUGUUUGGCACCUCGAUGUCGGCUCAUCACAUCCUGGGGCUGAAGUAGGUCCCAAGGGUAUGGCUGUUCGCCAUUUAAAGUGGUACGCGAGCUGGGUUUAGAACGUCGUGAGACAGUUCGGUCCCUAUCUGCCGUGGGCGCUGGAGAACUGAGGGGGGCUGCUCCUAGUACGAGAGGACCGGAGUGGACGCAUCACUGGUGUUCGGGUUGUCAUGCCAAUGGCACUGCCCGGUAGCUAAAUGCGGAAGAGAUAAGUGCUGAAAGCAUCUAAGCACGAAACUUGCCCCGAGAUGAGUUCUCCCUGACUCCUUGAGAGUCCUGAAGGAACGUUGAAGACGACGACGUUGAUAGGCCGGGUGUGUAAGCGCAGCGAUGCGUUGAGCUAACCGGUACUAAUGAACCGUGAGGCUUAACCU